rnacentral:ncRNA from 2 species
GGGACCCGAAAGAUGGUGAAC